ACUUCAGGGCAAGGUGAAAUUCCUGACCGGUGGUAAAGUCCACGAGCAAAUCUAAAUUAACUAUUAGUUGCAUGAAACGGUGUAAUUCCGUUACCGACAGUAAAGUCUGGAUGAGAGAAGC
rnacentral:ncRNA from 1 species